GCUGGGCAUGGUGGCUCAUGCCUGUAAUUCCAGCACUUUGGGAAGCUGAGGUGGGAGGAUCACUUGAGGCCAGGAGUUUCAGACCAGCCUGGCCAACAUGGCGAGACCCCAUCUCUA
ensembl:misc_RNA Metazoa_SRP Metazoan signal recognition particle RNA